rnacentral:rRNA from 1 species
GAUGAACGCUGACAGAAUGCUUAACACAUGCAAGUCUUUGGCGAAUCUGUGCUUGCACCGGCUAGCCAAGGCGGACGGGUGAGUAACGCGUAAAGAACUUGCCCUGCAGACAGGGAUAACAGACGGAAACGACUGAUAACACCUGAUACAGUUGCCGGCACGCAUGUGCCUGGCAAUGAAAAGAGAUGAUGCAGGAGAGCUUUGCGUCCUAUUAGCUUGUUGGUGAGGUGACGGCUCACCAAGGCGAUGAUAGGUAGCCGGCCUGAGAGGGUGCACGGCCACAAGGGGACUGAGAUACGGCACUUACUCCUACGGGAGGCAGGAGUGGGGAAUAUUGGACCAUGGGGGCAACCCUGAUCCAGCAAUUCUGUGUGCACGAAGAAGGUUUUCGGAUUGUAAAGUGCUUUCAGCAGGGAAGAAGAAAGUGACGGUACCUGCAGAAGAAGCGACGGCUAAAUACGUG